CCAGACCCUGUGAUGCAUCUAGCGCGACAGCAGCCUCCGUGGUCAGGGCCACGACCACAGCUGUCCUGCGGUAACCGUGAAUCAAGCUCACAUGCUCCCAGACGCCAGAACUGUCCAGCCGUUGAGCAAACAUGCCGUUACUGCAGAAGACAUUUUUUUUUUGCCAAGAUGUGCCACUCGGCUCCCUCUUGGUCUGAUGGACACACUUUCCCAGGCCUCCCCCGUCCAUAAUGGAACAGCAGGGCCUGUGCCACUCAAAGCUUGACGCACGGUUAACAAACAGGUUAGCAUUCCCCUGCUACUGGCCACAUAGUCCAUAAUGGAACAGCAGGGCCUAUGCCACUAAAAGCCUGACGCACGGUUAACAAACAGGUGAGCAUUCCCCUGCUACUGGCCACAGAUACAAGUGUUCCGCUCAUAAGUGCUAGUCCCCUAUGGGAAUGGAGACUCCAGAGCUGACCUGCUGGGUUCUCUGGAAGUGACUGUGGCACCAGCGUUUGGCCUCUCUUUGUCCUCCGCUGUGUGUUCCUCCAUCACAAUAUCGCACUAAACUUCUCAAGGUGCACUUUUGCUUUUUUUUUUUUUUUUUUGGGGUGACUUUUUGCUCCAGGACAAUUGUCUGUUUUCAUUAUCUUAGGCAUCUGAAAUCAAUCUCCACAAUCUCUCAGCGAGUGAGAGCGCUUCAAGGACAAGGGAUCCUUAAGGGUUUCCGGCAUGUGAUAAUAACUUUCAAUGCUGCCACAGCAAUUGUCCAAAAUAGAUCCCUCUGCCCCGAGAGCAGAAACAACUAAGUCUGAGUCAUUUUCUGCUGUUAUGUGUUAGAGGUAGCUCUACUGAAGAGAUAACAUGUUCUAUUUGGCUUGUUCGUGAUCUGACAGAACUAUUAAACCAGGGGGGGAAAAAAAUUAAAUUUGUGAAGACAGAACAGUGUCUGUAUUGGUUUAAAUACAUGGAGAUAUAGGUGGUAUUUUGCCAUAUCAGUAGCUGAAUAGGUGAAAUCUUG
ensembl:lncRNA